rnacentral:rRNA from 1 species
AUGGAGGAGAUCAUUAAGCAGCUGAUUAAGAAAGGUGAAAUUCAGGAUAGUUUCAGCCCUUUUUCCUCACCUGCAAUUAUGGUCAGGAAGAAAGAUGGAGGAUGGAGACUUUGUGUAGAUCACAGAGAGCUCAAUGCAAUCACAGUUAAGAACAAGUUUCCUAUGCCUAUCAUUGAAGACCUCAUAGAUGAACUACAUGGAGCUAGAGUGUUUUCAAAAUUAUAUCUCAGGUCUGGAUACCACCAAAUUAGGAUGAGUAUAGAGGAUAUUCCAAAAACUGAUUUCAGAACACAUAUGGGUCAUUAUGAAUACAAGGUGGUUCCUUUUGGAUUAUCCUGUGGACCUGGGACAUUCCAAGGACUAAUGAACACAGUGUGUGAGGAGAUAAAUGCACCUGAGACAGAGAAAAUCAUAUUAGAUUUCUUUGAUGAUAUGUUAGUGUUCAGUAAGAUAGUGGAAGAACACUAUGCACACUUAGAAAGAACUUUUGCUGCUCUGAAGAAACAUGAAUUGUAUGUCAAAUUGUCCAAGUGCACAUUUGCAACAAAUCAUGUGUCUUAUUUGGGGCAUAUCAUUUCAGAGCAAGGAGUAGCUACUGACCCAGGCAAGAUACAAGCAGUGGUGAAUUGGCCAACCCCAGGAAAUGUGAAGCAACUCAGGGGCUUCCUAGGACUGACUGGCUAUUACAGAAGAUUUGUCAAAGAUUAUGGGCAAAUAUGCAGGCCUCUCCAUGACAUGCUCAGAAAAGAUGCUUUUCAGUGGGGUCCUGAUCAAGACAAAGCUUUUCAAACCCUGAAGAUUGCAAUGACCAGUUGUCCAGUACUAACACUGCCAGACUUCACUAUGCCUUUUACAAUUGAGGCAGAUGCUUGUGCAAAAGGGAUUGGGGCAGUGUUAAUGCAAAAGGGCAGGCCAAUUGCCUUCCUGAGCAAAAGUUUGGGUCCCAAAUCUGCUGCCCUAUCUAUCUAUGAGAAAGAAGCCAUGGCCAUAUUAGAAGCAUUAAAAAAGUGGAGACACUAUGUAUGGGGUAACAAACUAAUAAUCAAAACAGAUCAACAAGCUUUGAAAUAUAUGGCAACACAGAGAUUGACUGAAGGAGUACAACACAAACUAUUACUGAAACUCCUGGAGUAUGAUUACACAAUUGAAUACAAGAAGGGAAAGGAAAAUACAGUGGCAGAUGCCCUAUCCAGAAGGGACAGUGUGUACUCCAUGCAAUGUCAUAAUGCCACUGUGGUCAUUCCUACUUGGACUGAAGAUCUAAAGAACAGCUACCAAGGAGAUCAAGACACUGACAAGAUACUCAAGAAGGUGGCCACAGAUAAUGAGGAUCCACCAAAGUUUGCCACUCACCAAGGCUUGUUGAAAUACAAGAACAGACUGUAUGUAGGAGCUACCACUGAUUUCAGACAGCAGUUACUGCACACCUUUCACUCUUCUGCUUUAGGAGGUCAUUCUGGAGUUAAAGCAACAUACCACAGGAUUAAAAAAGUGUUCUACUGGCCAAAUAUGAAAAAGGAUAUUGAAGUGUUUGUCAGCCAGUGUCCAAUUUGUCAGUUAAACAAAGUGGAACAUCUGCAUCCUCCUGGACUACUACAGCCAUUACCUGUACCUGACAUGGCAUGGGCUCAUAUCACCAUGGAUUUCAUCACAGCUCUUCCAAAUUCUCAGGGAAAGGAAGUCAUUCUAGUGGUGGAGGAUAGGUUUACUAAAUAUGCACAUUUCCUGCCACUAGCUCACCCUUACUCAGUGCAAACAGUUUUGGACACUUUAAUGGACAAUGUCAUCAAGCUACACGGCCUUCCUGUGUGCAUUGUGUCAGACAGGGACCCUAUUUUCACCAGUGCUCUCUAUCAGGAACUGUUUAAGGCUUUUGGGGUACAAAUCAGGUUCAGUACUGCAUCUCAUCCUCAAACAGAUGGCCAGUCUGAACGAGUGAACCAGUGUCUAGAAGCAUACCUAAGAGGAAUGGUUUUUCAAGAACCAAAGAAAUGGAUGAAGUGGUUACCACUGGCUGAAUUAUGGUACAAUACCAGUUAUCACACGUCAUUGAAAUGCACACCAUUUCAAGCCUUGUAUGGAUACAAACCACCUCAAGUAGCAGAAUUUGCAAUAGAUCCAACACUAUCUUCAGAGGCAGCAAUAACAAUCACUUCUAGAGAACACAUGGUACAGAGACUAAAGGCCAACCUGGAGCAUGCUCAAGGCAGAAUCAAGUAUUUUGCAGAUCAGAAAAGAACAGAGAGGCAACUGGAAGUGGGAGAUUUGGUAUACUUGAAGAUUCAGCCUUAUAGACAAAAUGCUUUUGGACUAAGAGGAUCUCUCAAACCGCGAUCGAAAUUCUAUGGACCAUACAAGAUUUUGGAACGAGUUGGGGCAGUUUCUUACAAACUUCAAGUACCAGAGGGCACUAAUAUACACCCCGUUUUCCACAUCAGCCAGUUGAAGAAGCACAUCGGCCAUAGGGCAGUACCAUUACCUCACGUUCCUUUGGUCACUCCGGAUGGAUAUGUCAAAACAAUUCCAGUGGCAGUUCUGGAUCGUCGAGUGAUCCAACGCAACAAGACUCCAGUGGGGCAGUGUUUGGUGCAAUGGGAAAGUCUGGCCCCGGAUGACGCAACAUGGGAAGAUGCAGCAUUUCUCAACAAGACCUUUCCAGGGCAUAAACUUUUCCGCCUCGAGGACAAGGCGGUCGUCAAGGCGGCGGCAUUGUCAGGACUUGCACCAUGCGACUACUGA